rnacentral:misc_RNA from 1 species
GGUUGUAAAUUUAUUGUAGAGGUCGUUAUUUAAUUUUGACAAAUUAAUUGUUAUUUCUUUUAUUUAGAAACUUUUAGCUGGUUAGUUGUUUACUUAAAUUUCCAUUGGUAUAAUGGUAUCAAGUACCAAUGAAUGAGGAUCAAGUUUGUUUUAGUGAUCAAGCUUCCCUGCGUUAAUGCUUUCAAAUACAACGUAGUAUUUACUAUUUUAUGCUAUUUUCAGA